GAGAGCAAACAGCUCUUUUAGAACUUUUCUAGCAGGUUUCUAGUUUUUGGUUGGAAAAAAUCCAA
rfam:Mus musculus chromosome 1, GRC primary reference assembly.